GGAUUUUUGUUUGUUUUUAGAAGGAAUCCCAGAAGAGUCUUGCUAUUAUUUAUCAAUAAAACAGUAACAAAAUAAACACCCUAUUCCCUCCCACUCACAGGGAGAUUACCUGGAUGCAACAGACCCUCAGCUUACUUCCAGUAUGUGUCAGAACAUUUAAAGCAAGCAUCAGUGUUAGAAGAGAACAGAGAAGAAAGAACAGUGAAGACCAGCAAACAGCUAUAGAACCAGUCAUUAACACUGGGGGGAAGAACUCACCUCCUUGUUCAUCCAGCAUGGUGAUAGUCUUGAUGCCAACAUCAUGGGACUGCACAAAGAAAGUUAUUUGGUGAUACAAAGCCAUUUCAAUACACCAGUGCAAAAUCAAAAUGUCUCCAAAAUAAGUUUGACAAGUUCAAACAGGUUUGUAAUAAAAUACAGUGCUAUGGAAUAGCUUCUACAGUAAAGUUAUACUAAACUUCAAAUUUGAUCUUGCUAGGCUGACAACGUUCUUAUCUGUUAUGCUAUCUCACUUAGGAUUUUACUAUUAUUAAAACAAGAUAAAAAUUGAUUACAAUAAUUAAGAUUAAACUAUGUCAAGGGCAAGCUAUAAAAACAGAACCUAGCCAUAUCUUGUUUUAAUAAGUGGCAUUUAGUUCAUUCUUUAUCCCUACAGCUUUCAGUAGGACUGAAAAUUUCUGAAAAUAAAAAGCUUUCUACAGGUUUUUUGUUGGUUUUUGCUUGUUUGUUUGUUUUGUUACAAUGGGAUAUCCAAGUCAUAGAAGCAUAAAGGAACUCAUUGAUAGUAUCAUCUAGAUACACCCGAUAUACAGAUUUGGUUCAAGUAAUGGACAAGGGUGUUAAGAGUUUCCUUAUCAUACCUAACUGCUUUUAAAAUUAUAACUAGGGAACAGAUGGUAAGAAGGUAUAAGCAGAACUACUUUUGCAUAGGAAGAAGCAAAAGCAGCACUGCCCUCUGCUACCCUGCCACACCCUACUAAGCACCACCCUCCCUCUUGAAAACAGGACAGAAAGUGAGAUAGAGGGGAAAAAAACAUUAAUUGUUUUGAGAGCUAAGCAAUGAAGCAGCCAAAGCCAUCUGUCACAGAUGAGUGUUUAUAACUGAUCUGAAACAUCUGGAGAUUUGACCAUUUUGCUUAGAAAGAGAACAGUAAAAAAUAUUGAUUUUGCAACUCAAGCCUAAUUGUUUUCACAUUAUAUGAAGUCACCGUAACUCAAACAUCUCAAAAAAAAAAGUUUGGGAAAAAGAAAAAGCAAUGAAGAUCACUCAGAGUUAAAAUGUUGCUGCUUAUUCAAAUUUAUACAUCCC